rnacentral:rRNA from 1 species
UACGUAGGGGGCAAGCGUUGUCCGGAUUUAUUGGGCGUAAAGAGCGUGUAGGCGGCCAGAUAGGUCCGUUGUGAAAACUGGAGGCUUAACCUCCAGCUGUCGAUGGAAACCAUCUGGCUAGAGUCCGGAAGAGGAGAGUGGAAUUCCUGGUGUAGCGGUGAAAUGCGCAGAUAUCAGGAGGAACACCAAUGGCGAAGGCAGCUCGCUGGGACGGUACUGACGCUGAGGCGCGAAAGCGUGGGGAGCGAACAGG